GACGAACGCUGGCGGCGUGCUUAACACAUGCAAGUCGAACGGAAAGGCCCUGCUUUUGUGGGGUGCUCGAGUGGCGAACGGGUGAGUAACACGUGAGUAACCUGCCCUUGACUUUGGGAUAACUUCAGGAAACUGGGGCUAAUACCGGAUAGGAGCUCCUGCUGCAUGGUGGGGGUUGGAAAGUUUCGGCGGUUGGGGUUGGACUCGCGGCUUAUCAGCUUGUUGGUGGGGUAGUGGCUUACCAAGGCUUUGACGGGUAGCCGGCCUGAGAGGGUGACCGGCCACAUUGGGACUGAGAUACGGCCCAGACUCCUACGGGAGGCAGCAGUGGGGAAUAUUGCACAAUGGGCGGAAGCCUGAUGCAGCAACGCCGCGUGCGGGAUGACGUCCUUCGGGUUGUAAACCGCUUUCGCCUGUGACGAAGCGUGAGUGACGGUAAUGGGUAAAGAAGCACCGGCUAACUACGUG
rnacentral:rRNA from 1 species